rnacentral:rRNA from 1 species
UGCGUAGGCGGGAUAUUAAGUCAGUGGUGAAAUCUCUCGGCUCAACCGGGAAACUGCCAUUGAUACUGUUAAUCUUGAGUUCGGUUGAGGUAGGCGGAAUGUGUAAUGUAGCGGUGAAAUGCUUAGAUAUUACACAGAACACCAAUUGCGUAGGCAGCUUACUAGACCGACACUGACGCUGAGGCACGAAAGCGUGGGGAGCGAACAGGAUUAGAUACCCUGGUAGUCC